CGGUGGACAGGUGGCUGCGAUGGCUGUCGUCAGCUCGUGUCGUGAGAUGUUGGGUUAAGUCCCGCAACGAGCGCAACCCUCGUCCUUAGUUGCCAGCAUUCAGUUGGGCACUCUAAGGAGACUGCCGGUGUUAAACCGGAGGAAGGCGGGGAUGACGUCAAGUCCUCAUGGCCCUUAUGUCCAGGGCUACACACGUGCUACAAUGGCCGGUACAAAGGGUAGCAAGACCGCGAGGUGGAGCCAAUCCCAAAAAGCCGGUCUCAGUUCGGAUUGGAGUCUGCAACUCGACUCCAUGAAGUUGGAAUCGCUAGUAAUCGUGGAUCAGCAUGCCACGGUGAAUACGUUCCCGGGCCUU
rnacentral:rRNA from 1 species